rnacentral:snRNA from 1 species
AUCGCAGCGAUUUUAAACCGAA